UAGGGAAUCUUCGGCAAUGGGGGGAACCCUGACCGAGCAACGCCGCGUGAGUGAAGAAGGUUUUCGGAUCGUAAAGCUCUGUUGUUAAGGAAGAACGAGUGUGAGAAUGGAAAGUUCAUACUGUGACGGUACUUAACCAGAAAGGGACGGCUAACUACGUGCCAGCAGCCGCGGUAAUACGUAGGUCCCGAGCGUUGUCCGGAUUUAUUGGGCGUAAAGCGAGCGCAGGCGGUUAGAUAAGUCUGAAGUUAAAGGCAGUGGCUCAACCAUUGUAGGCUUUGGAAACUGUUUAACUUGAGUGCAGAAGGGGAGAGUGGAAUUCAAUGUGUAGCGGUGAAAUGCGUAGAUAUAUGGAGGAACACCGGUGGCGAAAGAGGCUCUCUGGUCUGUAACUGACGAUGAGGAUCGAAAGCGUGGGGAGCGAACAGG
rnacentral:rRNA from 1 species